rnacentral:rRNA from 1 species
CAAUAGCGUAUAUUAAAGUUGUUGCGGUUAAAAAGCUCGUAGUUGGAUUUCUGUGGAGGACGGCCGGUCCGCAUUUUGUGCGAGUAUCUGGUACGGCCUUUACAUCCUCUUGUGGAACGUUGCGGUGCUUCAUUGCAUUGCGCGGAAUGCAAGACUUUUACUUUGAGGAAAUUAGAGUGUUCACGGCAGGCAUGCGCCUUGAAUAUAUUAGCAUGGAAUAAUAAUAUAGGCUUUUCGCCCUAUUUUGUUGGUUUCUAGAGCGAAGAGAAUGGUUAAUAGGGAUAAUUGGGGGCACUCGUACUAGAGCGUCAGAGGUGGAAUUCUUAGAUUGCUCUAUGACGAACUACUGCGAAAGCAUUUGCCAAGGAUGUUUUCAUUGA